GAUCCUGGCUCAGAAUGAACGCUUGGCGGCAUGGAUUAGGCAUGCAAGUCGAACGGUAACAGAGGUGCUUGCACCUGCUGACGAGUGGCGAAAGGGUGAGUAACCCGUGAGCAACCUGCCUCGAAGUCCGGGAUAGCCUUGGGAAACCGAGAUUAAUACCGGAUGUGGCUGUAUUUCCGCAUGGUUUUACAGCUGAAGUUUUUUCGCUUCGAGAUGGGCUCGCGUUCCAUCAGCUAGUUGGUGAGGUAACGGCUCACCAAGGCAGCGACGGAUAGGUGGUCUGAGAGGAUGGUCACCCACACUGGGACUGAGACACUGCCCAGACUCCUACGGGAGGCUGCAGUCGAGAAUCUUCCGCAAUGCGCGAAAGCGUGACGGAGCGAUGCCGCGUGCCGGAUGAAGGCCUUCGGGUCGUAAACGGCUGUCACCCGGAACGAAUAUUGACGGUACCGGGAGAGGAAGCCACGGCUAACUACGUGCCAGCAGCCGCGGUAAUACGUAGGUGGCUAGCGUUAUUCGGAUUUAUUGGGCGUAAAGGGUUCGUAGGGGGCCGAGUAAGUCUGAUGUGAAAUCCAACGGCUCAACCGUUGAACUGCAUUGGAUACUGCCCGGCUAGAGUACUGGAGAGGUAAGCAGAAUUCCUGGUGUAGCGGUGGAAUGCGUAGAUAUCAGGAGGAAUACCGACGGCGAAGGCAGCUUACUGGACAGUUACUGACCCUCAUGAACGAAAGCUAGGGGAGCAAACAGGAUUAGAUACCCUGGUAGUCCUAGCUGUAAACGUUGUUCACUAGAUGUAGGCGGAUUGGUCCCGUCUGUGUCCAAGCUAACGUGAUAAGUGAACCGCCUGGGGAGUACGGCCGCAAGGCUAAAACUCAAAGGAAUUGACGGGGGCCCGCACAAGCGGUGGAGCAUGUGGCUUAAUUCGAGGCAACGCGAAGAACCUUACCUGGGUUUGACAUAUAUCUGACCGCCAUGGAAACAUGGUUUCUCUUCGGAGCGGAUAUACAGAUGCUGCAUGGCUGUCGUCAGCUCGUGCCGUGAGGUGUUCGGUUAAGUCCGGCAACGAGCGCAACCCGUGCUGCUAGUUACCAGCGAGUAAUGUCGGGGACUCUAGCAGGACUGCCCGUGCUAAGCGGGAGGAAGGCGCGGACGACGUCAAGUCAGUAUGGCUCUUACACCCAGGGCUGCACACGUGCUACAAUGACCGGUACAAUGGGAUGCCACUCUGCGAAGAGGCGCCAAUCUCUAAAACCGGCCCCAGUUCAGAUUGGAGUCUGCAACUCGACUCCAUGAAGUCGGAAUCGCUAGUAAAGGCGUAUCAGCAACGACGCCUUGAAUACGUUCCCGGGCAUUGUACACACCGCCCGUCACAUCAUGGAAGCCUGUUGCACCCGAAGUCGCUGACCGAACCCGCAAGGGACGGAGGUGCCGAAGGUGUGGCUGGUAACUGGGAUGAAGUCGUA
rnacentral:rRNA from 1 species